rnacentral:rRNA from 1 species
ACGCUGGCGGCGUGCUUAACACAUGCAAGUCGCACGAGAACGCUUCAGCUUGCUGAAGCUAGUAAAGUGGCGCACGGGUGAGUAACGCGUGGGUAAUCUACCUCCAAAUUGGGGAUAACAUUGCGAAAGCGAUGCUAAUACCGAAUGAUAUCUCAAAAACUUCGGUUUUUGAGAUCAAAGGUGGCCGCUCCUUGGAAGCUACUGUCGGGAGAUGAGCCCGCGUACCAUUAGCUUGUUGGUAGGGUAAUGGCCUACCAAGGCAACGAUGGUUAGCUGGUCUGAGAGGAUGAUCAGCCACACUGGAACUGACACACGGUCCAGACUCCUACGGGAGGCAGCAGUGAGGAAUUUUGCGCAAUGGGGGAAACCCUGACGCAGCAACGCCGCGUGAGUGAUGAAGGCCUUCGGGUCGUAAAGCUCUGUCAAGUGGGAAGAACUUGCCCUGUGCUAAUAUCACCGGGCACUGACGGUACCACUGAAGGAAGCACCGGCUAACUCCGUGCCAGCAGCCGCGGUAACACGGGGGGUGCAAGCGUUAUUCGGAAUCACUGGGCGUAAAGAGCGCGUAGGCGGUCUCUUAAGUCAGAUGUGAAAGCCCGGGGCUCAACCCCGGAAGUGCAUUUGAAACGAAGGGACUUGAGUAUGGGAGAGGGAAGUGGAAUUCCUGGUGUAGCGGUGAAAUGCGUAGAUAUCAGGAGGAACACCGGUGGCGAUGGCGACUUCCUGGACCAAUACUGACGCUGAGGCGCGAAGGCGUGGGGAGCAAACAGGAUUAGAUACCCUGGUAGUCCACGCAGUAAACGUUGAACACUAGGUGUAGCGGGUAUUGACC